rnacentral:rRNA from 1 species
UACAGAGGUGGCAAGCGUUGUUCGGAAUUACUGGGCGUAAAGGGCGCGUAGGCGGUCUUGUAAGUCUUGUGUGAAAUCCCUCGGCUUAACUGAGGAACUGCACGGGAUACUGCAUGACUUGAGAUCGGGAGAGGGAAGCGGAAUUCCGGGUGUAGCGGUGAAAUGCGUAGAUAUCCGGAGGAACACCGGUGGCGAAGGCGGCUUCCUGGACCGACACUGACGCUGAGGCGCGAAAGCUAGGGGAGCAAACAGG